GUCCUAGCUGUAAAACGAUGGGCACUGAGUAGAGGGGGUCCGAUGCCUUCUCUGCUGGAUUUAAUAUGUUAAGUGCCCCGCCUGGGGAGUAUGGUCGCAAGGCUAAAAACUCAAAGGAAUUGACGGGGGCUCACACAAGCGGUGGAGCAUGUGGUUCAAUUCGAAGCAACGCGAAGAACCUUACCCGGGUUUGAAAUGCAGGGAUUAGGCUCCUGAAAGGGGCUGACGCCGCAAGGUGGAACCUGCACAGGUGUUGCAUGGCUGUCGU
rnacentral:rRNA from 1 species